GCUGCCACCUUGAGCGGCGCAAUUCUAGAAUGUGGCCUUGUUAUUUAUGUGAUUUAUUUGUUUUAUUUGAUUUAUUUAUUUAUUUGUUAUUUAUUUAUGUGGCCUUGUUAUUUUGUGACUUUUACAGUAACUUUGCUUAGUCAGAUUUCAAAUCAGGGAAUGACGUCACACCCCACCUGAGCAUGUUCUGGUUCCAAGUUAGAUAUGGUACUGAAAAUGGUAUUGUUUUAUAACCUUUUACCACUAUGUUAGCAAUACAGGUUGAUGUAUGGGGUAUGUAUUUUUCACCCUAUUCUGUCAGUGGUUAUAAAUAGUUUACACCUGCAACUGUUAUUACGUUUUUAUGCACUGCUAAAUUAUGUAACACUUUAACUCUUCAUCUUCUCCUCAGGUCAUCCAGACUCUUAUUUCCAGUUCCAUCCUGCAGGGAGUGUUUAGUAAUGGUGAGGCACACAGUCGAAGGCCUUGAGGGCGUCAGAUAAGAAAGCUGCAGAAGUCUCUGUUUCACCAACAGAGAAGACUGUUUGGUCUGUUGUUUGUGAGAGAGCGCUACAUUUCAUAGCUUUGAUUAUGACAGAUGAUUGUGCUUUACUUUUUAAUGAAUAUGCUGUUCUUGAAUGGGUGUGAUUGGCAGGUGCAGCUUUGCAGGUGUUAUUUGUUGACCCCAAUCAAGAGGGCUUCUUUAGGAGCAGGAAGCAAGAGAGAGGCGUCCGAUCGUUAUCUCUGCCAGCGUGGCGAGCUCCUUGGAACUCCUCCCUGCCGAUCCUGCCAUGAGUCUCCCUUCCUCUCCUGUCUCCUGCCCUAUGAAUCAGAAAAUACUUCCUGAAAACUCCAAAAUAUUGAUCGCCUGCCUGUCCACCCUCCAACACUGCUCACUCUGCUCAAGUGCUGCCACUCAGAGGAUCAUACAAAGAGAGAUUCAGAACUGAGUACCCCCGUGCCACUCCUGCCAAACUCAGCCUCUGUAGGGGAACUUACCUCCCCCAACAAGCCUUUGUCCACCGUCUACAGUGAGCUAGUCUCACUCCUGUCCUGCACAGCCUACAUUGAAUUCAUCCAAACAAACAAUAGCCUCUCACCUCUCUUCCUCAGUGCCAACCCAGACCCCGGUGUUCUGAUUCAACCCUGUUGUGCUUCAAUAAACAUGUUA